rfam:Penicillium expansum strain MD-8 contig375, whole genome shotgun sequence.
ACAUACGACCAUAGGGUGUGGAAAACAGGGCUUCCCGUCCGCUCAGCCGUACUUAAGCCACACGCCGGAGAGUUAGUAGUUGGGUGGGUGACCACCAGCGAAUCCUCAUUGUUGUAUGUU